AUGGAGUCUGGCAUGGCUCCAGGUGUAAUUACGAGACUUGAUUCAGUUACAGACCUGAAUGGAGGAGAAGGUCAAGCUUGCCUGCAGUCCGGAGUCAGAGUAGUGAAUUCCCAGAAAGCUCAGAUUCAAUUAUGUAGGGAGGCCUCUGCCAGUUCCAGUUCUGUUGUUGCACUUUUAAGACUCCCAUCCACAGAAGAAUGCCUGCUGGCAGUUACAGUUGAUAAACUAAGUAGGAGUUUCCUGCUCCAGAGGGAAUGGAGGCACUGGCAGCAACCACUGGCAGCUGGAACUCCCAAGCAACUGCAUGAUGUGGGAGGAUGCCUGGCAGUCAUUUCUGACCACAAGGCCUGGGAGCCACUCUUACAUCCAAUUCUCUCUCCUUUUGAACUGAUUCAGAAGACUCGGAGACCUUGCUUUUGAAAAAACCCAAACUGGACAGAGAGUUGCUGAAUUUUUAUAAUGACAGAGGCUUCCAGGAGGAGUGACACGUAUCCCUGCUGGAUGAGCUCACAGUUCCAGUAGGAAGACACAAGCUGAAGGAUUGCAGCAGGAAUGGUAAGUGGAAGCACAGAGCGGCUGUGGGACAUGGAGGAGGGGCAGGAAGAUUGAGAAAGAGGCGACAGAUGGGGUGACGUUGGGCCUGAGACCUGAAGAGGCGUAAGACGUCUCAUUCUCUAAAUGUGUUCUAUUCUUUGCAGUGGACAUUUCUUUGUACCAGGUAGCUUUGCACUUGUUUCGUUCCAUAAAAGUAAAUCUCUGUUCACUAAGGAACUAUGAUAGUGUAAUGGUGACUCUCCGGAAUUAAAGGGCUAAUUCCAAAAGAAUCUUAGAUUUCCCCCCUCACAUUGUAACAUUAACACUCGGGAAUUCUGUUUACCGCAUUGUUUAAUAAAGUGGCCAGCAGAGGGCACUGCAUACUGACAAUCUCUCCACACCAGACGCUCAAAUCUUCAAGGGGUGUUUGCAAGCGCUUUGCUCUUCCGUUUCAGAUAUAAACAAACGUCAGAAAUUAAAAGAGGGUUGUGAAGCAGGAAGUUAGGUAAACAGUAUCAUAUAAGUUCCCUCUAUUUGUUAAUAAAGAGAAAAACUGUUGGUAUGUAUACCCACGUCCACAGGGUUUAAAUGUAGCUGUAUGAGUGAAGGUGUUAAUGAUAAGAUAACACUAAAUUCUUGCAUAAAUCAACAACACUUUUAAAUUCCAUUUGAAAAUGCAUUUUGGUUUUAUGCUGUGGUUUAAUCCUCAAUCAUAAACUAAAAAUUAACAAAACCCGAUGCCUAAUGUUAUACUUUCUGCCGAACAUUAAGAUAGAUGUUACUGUUUGAACAGUAUCCAAAUGUUGUGUUCCUGCACAAAGUCUUUUUAUCGCUCUUCCGGUGAUACGUUAUGUAUGUUUCCACAUGUGGAUGUGAGGAUUCUAAAACAUUUUUGAAGCACUACUUUCUUGCCUUCAUCUCCCCAUUAUAAAAACUUAAAGGCGUGUUUUAAAACCUGUCUGCUCUUGAUUCAACUUGACAACGUGGAGACUUUGGUUAGCAUGGCUGGUCCUGUGAGUUAAUGCACAGCUCUGUGUUUUUCAUCUAAGAAACAAACUACACGGGCCCCUUCCAUUGCUACUGACUUGAUUCGCCACAGCCCAUCUCUAUGAAGUAAAUACGGAUCCUCCGGCAUUUGCAGAGUUAAGACAGCUUCCUGGGAUCAAAGCCUGAAUCACAUAAAUACAGGCGAAGAACUACGAAAAAAUUCUUACGGCAGGAAACACUCAAGAAAGUUUUCAUAUUAAAAAUCUCUUAUCCCAAAAACUGUAGGCUGUGUUCUGAUGAUGUCUUACUGAUUUAUCAGAUAUGUUUAAUGGCAGUUUGUAACAUGUUCCUGCUGAGUGAAAGAACGGCACCCCGACAAGCGGGCAGAAUUGAAGAGGCAUGACAUUCUCUGAUAACUUAAUCCAUGCUCAGUUUGACUAGCAAUUUUAUUGCUUGGUAUAUAAUACAUUUAGUUUUACAAGUAAGAUAUAGUUUAAUAGUGUUUAAAUAUUAUUUUGCAAGCAGGGAAAGAAUUCUAAUUCUGAAUAAUACCAAAAGGCUCUGCAGCAUAUUGGGAUUUAAGUCUAGAUUAAGUCACUACUGUAGAUUAUGUCAUGAUUUGUCUUUUAAAAUUGGAAAGCGAAUUAACUUUUGCCCGUUGGUUCUCUUUGCAGAGAGUGAUUGCCUGGGUACCUGUGGGCACCUGCAGUACACAUUGUGUCUGGAGUGCCCUCUUGUGGCCAUGCAUCUUUAUGCAGAUAGAGUCCUCCUCUGCUACUAUUUUGUGGGGCUUCUUCCAUUUCACUGUGCAUUGGUGAGGCUACUGGAAUAGGACUUGCUUGAGCCGGGUUCAUUAUCUACAAGUAGGAUGCUGGUAACAGACAGCACUAGGGAGAUUAAUACAGUCUUCGAGGAGGUACAUCAUAGCUUCAUGUUCUAAAGAUUACCUUUCAGUUAUUGAAUUUUUAGUCAUUUAUUUAAAGUGAUUAUUGCUCAUAAAAUAUUAUCAUCAUCAAAGAGCCUUUCUCCUUUUGUCCAGAUCAACAAUGACCCGUAACAGGUUUGGUCUAGACGAGUCAUCGUGGACGGUCCGAGCCACCCUAGGCCUGCUCUGGUUUACACGGGGCAUGACUGGCAUGAACUCCAGCCUUCCACGGUCUAAAUAGCACUGAUACUCUGAACACAGUAAGAACUCCACGAUUCCACCUCAGUUCCACCCAACGCAAGGGGAAUAGUUCCCCCAUUUCACAGGAAUUUAUACGGUGCCUUUUAGGGAAGAGGCAAAGUGCAAAUUGUUAUGGUUAGGACCUGAGUUCUGUAGUCAAACCAAGGCCAGCCAAGAGCAAACUUUGUGAAUUCAGGCAACAAAUUAAACUUUAUAGCCUUAGUUUUAUCAUCUACAUAAUGGGGAGAGUAACAGGUUGCGGAGAAGAUUGAGUGGCAACAAGACCGCAUAACAUUGGAC
ensembl:lncRNA